ensembl:lncRNA
CACUUUUGAAUUUGGAUGUUAUUUCCUUUCCUAAACAAAAAUAUUAUCUCUUUUUUUGGAGUACAAGCGUGAAAUAAGACUGCAGAAUUGUCUCUUGACAAUCCUACUGCAGGACAUCAAGCAUAAGAAGUUUGAAUGGCAGAAGUGGCUCUGGGUACAAGCUUCUGCCUUGGAGGCUCUGUGGCAGACAGCAGUAUGGGAGCUGCAGAUGAAAGGACAGAUGUGGUAACAAAUAAGUGUCCAGCUGGGGGACAAUGAUCCCUUUUAUCUGCUUUCCUUCAAGGGCUAAAAUGCACAGCAUAACAGUGAAUGCAUUGAAUUUAAAUUAUUUUUAUGAUGAUAAAUGCUAAACCUAGCUUUACAUUUCCUUUUUGAGUGCUGCUAGCUAAGUCCUAGGGAAGCAUGCACUUGCGUUGUCUUUGUGGUAAAAAUGAUCAAAAUGCAAAGUCCUAAAUUUAUGUGUUUUCCUCUACACAUCUCUAUUGUGGCAUAAGCAUUGUUUUCGGAGUCUGCCUUUUGUUCAGUGGUCAUUUGGCAACAGUGAGUGCCGAAAAUACAAUAGCGGACGUGCUGGAGCACUUAUCUGUUCCCGUGAUCCUCUGUUGAGCUGUUAAACUCAUAUAACUUAAUGCCAGCAGAACUGUAGUAAUUUGAGGAAAAGCUUUUGCAACAUGAUUCUUCGGGAAGAGGGAGGAGCAGGACUGAGAAGAUUCAAUCUGCCCUGGGUUUGAUACAUCUUACUAGAAGAAAGGUAGACACUGGAACCAUGAAAGACUUGAAGGAAUACAGUGACAUGAGAAACAACCAGGUUUUCCAGUCCUUACUAAUGGUUCCCCUAGAAGAGGACAGACCACAUCCAAUCCAUCAAUAUAAGGAAACUUUCAGGUGCAACAUCGGAUUGAUCAUUGAAAGAAGUUGAACUUUCAGAAACCAGCAGUCUUCUGUCAGUUUCUAAAUUGUUUGUCAUCUUCAGACUCCCACCUAUCCUUCCUCAUCUGGAAAUUAUGCAACCUAUUUAAGAGUCAUUUUGGCUGUGUGUACAGCCUUACUGUGCCUUUGUAAACAACAAUGAUGUCUCAUUCCUGCAAAGUUUACAUUCAGAAUGUUUUUGGUUUUUUUUUCUAUCUAUACUUUGUAGCUAGUAAGAUCAUAAUGUUGGCCACGCAGUACAUGGAUUCCCUUUGUUUUAAUUUUUUAUCCGAAGAAUGAGAACAGCUGAUUCAUAUUUUAUUUGCGUAUGUACAGUCUAGUUGUUACUUUGAAGAACUUUAAAACAUCUUAAGCUCUGAGCUGAAAAAAACCAAUCCCAAGCUAAGAUUUUAGAAAAGAACACUACACUAGUCACAUUACUCCUCCCCUCAAAAAAAAAAGAGAGAAAAAAUAAUAGGAAAAAAAGAAGAAAAAUAGUUAGAUUUAAGUUAGAUUUAACAUUUUAAAAUGAGUUUGAAAACCUUGAGAACAAAAUGUUUAUUUCUCCUAAUCUCCCUGUUUGUUUUCAUUUCUGGAGAGAAAGACUUUAUUGAGUUUUGCAUCAAUCUCAACACAAGUGUUUAAAAAAUUUCCUCCUUAGUCACUUUGUGCCCAGAUUCUAGACAAUGUUUGAAACCUGCACUACCUGCAGACUCACCCAAGAAUCUCGCAUUGUCUUUCUACAGUAUUUCUGUAAGGUUUAAUAUCUUUCAUAGCCAUUUGUCUGUUGUCAGACUCGCAUAGCAUUGCAGCACAUUGCUAGGAUACGGUAAAUGUUUUUAGAAGUGAAAGACCUCCCCUUUUUCCUAUUACUAUCUAGAAUAUAAGGCCAGAUUUUACUCUCUGAUAUGCUCAUGCAACUCGCAGUGGAGUAAAUGGAGUCCUAGAAGGACUGGAAGGGUAGAAUUUGGCCUUGAAGAUUUAUAGAGCUAUAAAAAUACAAGUAGAUA